GAUGAACGCUGGCGGCGUGCCUAAUACAUGCAAGUCGAACGAACAGUCGAGGCGCUUGCUCCUUUGACGUUAGCUGCGGACGGAUGGGUAACACGUGGGUAACCUCCCUAUAAGCCUGGCAUAACUUCGGGAAUCCGGAUCUAAUACGAGAUAAUAUUUCGAACCACAUGAUUCGAUAGUGUAAUACGGCUCUGCUAUCACUUAUAGAUGGACCUGCGCCGUAUUGGCUAUUUGGUAAGGUAACGGGUUAACAAGGCAAGGAUACGUAUCCCACCUGAGAGGGUGAUUGGCUACACGGGAACAGAGACAAGGCCCAGACUUCUAGGGGAGGCCGCAGUACGGAAUCUUACGCAAUGGGGGAAAGCCUGACGGAGCAAAGCCGCGUGAGUGAUGAAGGUCUUCGGAUCGGAAAGCUCUGUUAUUAGGGAAGAACAAAAGUGUAAGUAACAGUGAACAUAUUGACGGUACCUAAUCAGAAAGCCACGGCUAACUACGUG
rnacentral:rRNA from 1 species